GGGGGCUAGGGGGCUGCUUACCAUGCAAGUCGAACGGUAACGCGAGGAGCUUGCUCCUUGGCGACGAGUGGCGGACGGCUGUGUAAUGCUUAGGAAUCUGCCCAGUAGUGGGGGACAACGCGAGGAAACUCGUGCUAAUACCGCAUACGUCCUACGGGAGAAAGUGGGGGCUCUUCGGACCUCACGCUAUUGGAUGAGCCUAAGUCGGAUUAGCUUGUUGGUGGGGUAAAGGCCUACCAAGGCGACGAUCCGUAGCUGGUCUGAGAGGACGAUCAGCCACACUGGGACUGAGACACGGCCCAGACUCCUACGGGAGGCAGCAGUGGGGAAUAUUGGACAAUGGGGGCAACCCUGAUCCAGCAAUGCCGCGUGUGUGAAGAAGGCCUGCGGGUUGUAAAGCACUUUCAGUAGAGAAGAAAAGCUCAGGGUUAAUACCCCUGGGUCUUGACGUAACCUACAGAAGAAGCACCGGCUAACUCCGUGCCAGCAGCCGCGGUAAUACGGAGGGUGCGAGCGUUAAUCGGAAUUACUGGGCGUAAAGCGCGCGUAGGCGGUUGGAUUAGUCGGAUGUGAAAGCCCAGGGCUUAACCUUGGAAUUGCAUUCGAUACUGUCCAGCUAGAGUAUGGGAGAGGGAAGCGGAAUUUCCGGUGUAGCGGUGAAAUGCGUAGAUAUCGGAAGGAACACCCAUUGGCGAAGGCGGCUUUCCUGAACCAAUACUGAACGCUGAGGUGGGAAAGCGUGGGGAGCGAACCGGAAUAGAUACCCUGGGUAUCCACGCCGGAAACGAAGAAAACCUGAUGGUGGGAAGGAUUGGCCCUUCCGUGUCGCAGCUAAAGGCUUUAGUUUCUCCCCUUGGGGAAAUACCCGGGCAACGGAAAACCUCCAU
rnacentral:rRNA from 1 species